UAGUUGUUCGGUGACUUGCCUUUUUUCUGUUUCGUCAAUUCGGCUUCAGCAGAGGUGAACAGAAAAUUAGAUUAUAGGCUAAAAGUCAAAGGGUUUGAUAAACAAGAUUUUUGGUGACCUUUUAGCAAGACUAUAUUUUAAAUUACAUCAAGGCUUCAUAAAGAUGAACCAAAUGAUAUUCCAGGAAUCCAAAGGAAAUUUGUAAACAAUUCUUCAUUCCCCAUCUUUAGUUGUCCAAUUGAGGCAUGUCGGGAGUCGUUGGCUGAGUUGCGUCGAUAAAGGGAAUGCAUUCAGCACUAGUAAAAGCCGUCGUGACAUCUUCCAGUAAUUCUGCUUGAGAUCCCAUUGGAGCUGGAUCGCGGCAAGUGAUCGGUCCGGGAUCCUUCGGUGGAGGUAAGAUCAGCCCGCCUACGUAGAAGGAAUAAUGUCGUUGAGGUAACACACCAAGAGUUCUAGCCCUUCGAUGCAUAAAGAGGCAAGCGCAAAGUAAAACCAGCACUAUGAAGCAAGGGCCACCGAUGACUACAAGAAGCCAAAGCCAAUAUUUAUCAGCCAUUAGUCGACUACUAACACAAGAGCAGUAAGUGCACGAUCGUUUUCCCCCUCGCUUUGUCUUAGAGAUGGUGUAAUAGAUGCUGACUUUAGGAAGACUUGCGAAGGAUACAGCUCCUUUCCUCUAACGUAUCACGAAAAUCAGAUUCGGUUAACCUCAUCUGUGCCGGGAAGUGGGCACGUGAGAACUCAGCAGCAAUAGUUACGUCACCAAUUCGAGUUGGGCUCAAUUAGAUGCGAGUUACAAUUUAAUUGACUAAACUUGUACACUUAAACUUUCUCUGGGAAGUGAUUUGUAUUAAAAAAAAACGGUGUUUAAUAGUUCAGUGGUGGUAUACGUAACCAAAACAGACUAUGCCUUAUUUGUAAGUAUUGUUGAACAGUGUUGGGGAACUGUAGCGGACUGGUUUUUUAAACUUAGCUAUUCUUGUGUUACUUGUGACGUCACAUUCACGUGCGUUGUUAUUGUAGGUUUUUUAGGUUAGUAAGGCUUGUGCUUUGAAUUUCAUUGUUCUGUCAGAUGAGCUCUUUAAAACAGCUGAAUGGGUCAAGAUGAGUCAAUUUAUGUGAAAGAGAAUUGAAAGCUGUGUCAUAAAUAGCAAUGAGGUAUGAGGUAAUUUAUAUACAAUUUAUUGAUGUAAGGAAAUUCUUUAUGGAGGGAGAUUAACUGAAUUAUAGUAACCACUACGUUUUCAGAGGAGCUGUACUCGAUUAUUAACCAUAUAUUUUACGAGGAGUUUUACUCCGGCGUGGUUUGUAAGUAUUCGUUUUUUAAUCUAGAGUAGAGGUUUCUAUUUUAUUCGUUAGUAAUUUGCCAACUGAUGACGAAUGAGAAUACUGCCUAAUUAUAAUGGUUAUUUCAACGAUCUUCAUAGCCAAUAUGUGGUCCCUUUAUUUGUCUAUCUUUGUCUGCGAAUCAAGUUAACAUCCGCAAAACCAUAUCCGCGUAUGGUGCCUGCUGAAUAAAGAAAAAUGACCUUUCUUGAUUUGAUGGAGGGUGAAGAUCGAUUUGAUAAAGGACACUGUCCAAACGUGGACUUGGUCUGGUUUGAAAUGUAGGAAAUAUUGUAUAUGGGGUGCACUCUUCAAUAGUUGAGUUGAUAGAAGUGAAACUGAAAUGAAAUGGUGUUGCAGAAUAAGUGCUUCGUACCAUAAUGAAUAAAACUUCUUAGGUAAAUGAGUGAAAAUUGUUGCAAUUCCAAGUUCGCGUACUGCUUUCUACGUUUCCCCGCCAUGGUUCGACAUCAUCCGAUAUAUUGGAGCAGUCUGAAGGUGGAAAGCAAUAAGUUUUCAUGAACAAACAGACAUGGUCAAGUCGUGUGGGUGGGCUUCGGUGAAACUCCAUCCAUGUUCAUCGAGGGCGUAUAACUUUCAAUCCAUCUUCGCAUAAAGUGGCCAAAUGGGUUAAAAGGAGUUUCUUAGAAGUGGAAACUUUAAAAAUUAAAUUCGGAUCUUCUCCUACACCACGCUGGCAUAAAUUGCUUCAUACUAAGUGGAAUGGCAGACAAAAGCACAAGAAGAACAAGAGGGAAAGACAGUCAAAGAAAUGCAACAAUUGUCAAAUUGUUAACAUAUUAGUAACGUCCUUGGGUUUGAGUGGAAGCUGACUGAGGAGCAGCGUACGCCUGUUGCUGCUGGGAUGUAGCUGAAGCAGCGAAAGCAUUCUGCUGUUGGGGAGCAGCAAAGGUUUGCUGUUGGGCAGUGGCAAAGGUCUGUUGCUGGGGAGCAACAGAUUCGGCAACGGAUGAAGAAGCAAUUGGGGCUUGUUGGGGAGCGGAUGCGGCAGGAUUGAUGGUGAUGCAAGAGCAGAUCUGUUGGGUAGUUGUUGGUGCGGCGGGACUGGCGGCUGGUCUGAAUGGCUCAGCAACGAAUGCUGGGCUAGCUGCGGGUCUUUGCUGCUCAAGAGGAAGCGCUGCGAUGUUCGGGACUAUUUGUUGGCUCGGGCUAGCAAACGAUUGACCGCCCAACAUUCCGCUUAGACCAGUACUUCCCGAUUGCGAUCCCUGGUUGCUGGAAGAUCUGUAGGAAUUGAACACAGCAUGAAAUGACAGCUAUGGAGUGAAAUAAAAGAAAUUUCAGCUUACUGGGACACGUACUGGCCGGAGCAGGAAAUAGCCAACAUGGCGCACAUCACAACAACCUAAAAAAGGAAAACAAUUCAGAAUGAAAUGGAACGAUUUAAAAACUGUACUUACGGUUUUGAAGGUGUUCAUCUUGAGGAGGAAGUUUGAGUGGUGUACUGGAAUACUUGUAAAAGUGAACUGAUGUCUUUCCAUGGAAAUGCAGCACCUUUAUAUAGUCCGACACAGGCCCAGUCGACCACCACGGAAUAGUUGGUUGUUGUGCUCCAGAACAAAAGGACAAAUACUGCGAGGUCGUGUAAUACUUUCGAGCGGGUCAGUUAACCGAACAGCAAGCAAGGUCAUCUUGUUGCUACGCCAACCAAAGCUACCGUUAACUUUGAACAAGAGGGAACUAUUUCCAAUCUACGACUAUGCAAACUAGUAUGAUGAUUAUCUCCUUACUGUGUCUUCCUGAAUUUGCAGAUUUUGGAAGGCCUUUUAGUGUAACAUUAUACAGACGUUACUUGUGGAGUCUAAUGCAUAGCGGAAUGGAAAUGGACUCGUGUUAAUCUACCUGAAAGUACAGCCUGGGAAUUAACGCUGUUGCCUUGCUAUUGUCUUUAUCUUUUAGAUUGCGGAAUAUUUUUACCAAACAUUUAAUCAUGAUUUUGAGAUUUGAGAACUUUAAUCCUGUGAAACAAUAUUUCACCGAAAUUAGAGUUUGAACAAACACGUCCAUUGGAACAAAAGUUACGGGAAGUUCGAGAAAGUUUGCGGAAUAAUCCAACUGUUCGGUAUGCCGAAGUUAAUCCCGAAGACUUGUUUAUUUCUCCUGGAGAUUUACAGUUAGGGUAAAGUUAUUUCGGUACGAUAACGUACCAUUCGGAAAGGAGAAAUAACGUUGGCUGUUAUGCAAAACAAUAGACUGUCCAGCGCAGUUUCCAUACUUUAUUAGUGGACUGCAUCGAAAGGAA